rnacentral:lncRNA from 1 species
CCUCUUGCUCUUGCUCUUGAUCUUCAAUGGUCUCCAAGUUGCUUCAAUCUCCAAAACUAAUAAGAACUAGGGUUAUUUUCUAAUCUAAAGGAGUGUUUAAUCUAGGCUAAGCUAUGUAAUCUCCCUUUAUUUUAUGCCUUACAUCAUGUAUUUAUAGGUUACAAGUCCAAUUUUUAGCUUAGGAACAAACCCAAUCCUAUUUGGAGUCAAAAAGGUGUCAAAAUUCGCCCAAAACGCGUCCAGGCCGCACCAAACCCUUCCCCCAGCGCCCCAGCGCUGGGCAACGGCGCUGGAGUCUGCCCCCUAGCGCCCCGGCGCUGGGCAUAGGCCAAAAAUGGGCGCCCCGGCGCUGGCCCAAAAUCUGACAUUUUCUGCUCCGACGUCCUUUGGGAAAAUGGCCAUAACUUCUUCGUCCGAACUCCGAUUUUGAUGAUUCAAGAUGUUCCGGAAAGAGGAGAAGUAGAUCUACAACUUUCAUUCUUUGAGUUUUUCGAAAUAAUGUCAGGAGCUAUAGUCAAAUUGGCUCUGAAGUGACUGCUGUGUAAAUGGCAAGCCGAAAACGCGAAUCUAGCCACCCCAAACAUCGAUCCAUGUAACUUUUGUCCCAAUUCCUAUAAAAUAACAUAAAACAUGCAUGAAUAGACACAAACACAUAAAAACAUCCUAAAAGACUUAAGAACAACAAUAAAUUAAGCCCGAAUGUAUCCAAUUCAUGGGUAUAAAACUCACUCAUCAAAUACCCCCAAACUUAAAUCUUUGCUUGUCCUCAAGCAAAAACACAAAAAUGUUAUGCAAUGCAAUGUAAUGAAACUAAUCUAUAUGCCUACGAAUCCAACAGUAAUGACAGAAACAAGUCUAUUCAACCGGCCUUAGAGAAAUCAAGUAAACAUGAUAAUACAUCAUAUUAAAACAAAUCAGUAAUUUCCCAAUCAAUCAUCAAAUCUUAGACUGUUAUCACUGAUAUAGUGCGUGUGUGCUCCACAACAAUGUUAACUGAUAUAAAAUCAAAUUUAAGACAUAAUAGAUAUCUUUGAAGGCAUCAUACAGUGCAAAUUCACAAAAUUCACGAACAAGCUAUAUCCAACUAAAGUCAAACAUCCACCAAGUUCAAGAGUCCAAUCUGGGAUACUUAUGCUUUACUUUUCAUUACGGGGGCUUUUUGCUCUUUUCCCGUUUUUUUUUUUUUUUUUUAACCAUAACUGUGCAAUGUCUCAUUCCAUUAGGCUAACAGUGUCACCCCUUAGCGAGCUUUCGACCAACGACUCCCAGACCAUAUAAGACCUUAGGGCGCUAGGUUUUAAGAUACCCCUUCGGGCGUACUUACUCAAGUAACAAAGGCCCCGAAACAAAACUAGCCACGGUAAUUUUUUUUUUCUUUUUCUCUUUUUUUUAUAGAUGGUUGGUGAGUGCGUUUUACGCUCCAUCUCACGCUUGUGUUUAUGGGGAGUGUUUCUCCUCAACCCACCACAAGACUCAACAUGUUUUUUUUUUUUUUUUUUUAAAGCUUAUAUACCCCAAAAUUUCCCCCCAAACUUAAGUUUUUAUCAAAAUUUAGCCAUCUCCGCCUAUUCAUGUCUUUCAUUCCUUCACACUAGUAUUAUACUUAAGAAAUCCAUUAUGUAUCAAUUUAAACUUAAUCAGUUAACAUAGCUGUUAUUAACGUGCUAACCUUGAUUAUACCAGUUUCAAACAGGAAAAGAUUCAAUUCAUAACAAGAAAUCACAUCAAAGCCUGAAUAUUCAAUACUAUACUUAUCUACUUAACUCCAGUCUCAUCAUUGGCCAAAAUAGACUUUUACUAUCUAACAGUUGGAAUCAUGCAAAUAUAAACUAACUGCAACAAACAUAGUAAACUAACUACUAUUUUUGCGAUUUUUAAAUUUUUUUUUUAAAAAAAAAAAAAAAAAAAAACGAAUGCAACAACUAAAUGUAAAUAACCCGAAAACAUAACGAACUACAAUGUAAAUAACUAACUAUAUGCAAUACGACACUAAAAUGCCCCCAAACUUAAACUAGACAUUGUCCUCAAUGACUGAAAUAGAAAAAAUUAAAGCAGAGGACUUCCCUGAAAAUAUAGCAAUCUUCCUCCUUGCCCGCUAAGUUUGGAGAAUAGGCUAAGCACAUGGAACAAAUUGGGCACCACACUUGAAUUUGACUUGAAUAACCUGUAAAACCAUGAUAGAAGCAAUUUUAUUAAAUCCUAAAUAAAUGCAAAUUCAAAACUACUAAUAUAAAACUUAAUAAAAACUAAAAAUAAAAAUUAAACUUGGGUUGCCUCCCAAUAAGCGCUUGUUUUAUAGUCUCAGCCUGACUUCUUCAAUUCUCUAUCCAAUUCCCCUACGAAAGUUGAGGAACCCUCCAUCCAUCGGAAAUAAUAUAGCUUUUGGUAGGUUCCCAUUUACGAUAGCCAUUGUAUUAAAGUCACCUAGCAUGCUUUCUUUAGAUAAGAUCACAUUCAAGAACGUCCAGCAUCUAGGUGGUUUCUCCAUUGUGUCUGCGAAUAUAUUCUGGUAUUGAAGCUUGUCAGACACAACAGUUUCUUCUUCUAUCUUCUCCAGCUCAUCGCACCAUGGUUUCGAAGGUGUACUUGCUUUUACAUCACAGAGAGUAUUGCCGACGACAUGACUACCAAUCGGACAAGGUUUUGCAAAUCUAACCGGACUCUUGAACUGUGGAGGAGAAGGCACUUGAGGCAUAAAUAACAUUGGCUCAUCAUCAUUGGUUCUCACAAUUAGUUCUUCACCGACCUUGUUGUCAUUAUCCCCACUUGUCUCCUCUUUUUCAUCUCGUGGCUCAUCCAGUUGUAGAUUUGGCUCGGGCUCACCAUCGGGCUCGGAAUCCAUGUCAUAGGGCCAGGUGUAUUGAGGACGGUUGUUCAACGCAUGUGCUAUCUGUUCCACUUGAUUUUCCAAAUUCUUGAUCAACGCCCCUUGGCUUUGCAAAUUCAGCUCUACUUGAUUCAUUUUCUUGUCUUGUUCCUCAUUCCUUUUUUCAGAAGCUUUAAUAAAUUUUUCCAAGGCUUCCUCCCAAUUUGAAUGUUCUUCCUGUUGUAGUGGAGGUGGACACAAGAAAUCCUGUGGGUAUGUUGGACUUGGAGCAUAAAAUUGAUCUUGAUUGUUACUCCAUGAAAAAUCCGGGUGAUACCCCCAAUCCUGAUGAUAGUUGUUGGGAUAGACAUAAUUAUUGGGGUAAUCACCACUAUACUGUACCGGCUCGAAACUGAUGGUGCAUUGAUGACUCAUAUGAUUUCCAGCACAAUAAUCACAAGUAACCACCAUACUUUGACGACGCUGAGCUUCAAAAGCUUCAAACAUCCUCGAAAGUGUCUCAAUCUGUGCUGACAAUGCAGAAAGUUUCUCGAGUCUUUCAAUCUCCACUCCCCUUGGUUGAGUCAUGUUCGUGUAUGGCCAUUGAUACACAAAGUCAUCCAUGGUACCUGAAAAGAGAGAAAUAUAGAAAGAGAAUUAAAAAUAAAAAUAAAAAUGUUUAAAUUAAGACUAAUUUGAUUGAAAUUAAUAUUGGUAAAUAAUUAUUAAAUUAAUUCCCCGGCAACGGCGCCAAAAACUUGUUGAUCGAUUUCGCAAUCAAUGAAUACGUGCAAGUAUACACGGUCAACAAGUAAUAAAGUGAAAGUAGAGUAUCGUUCCCACGAGGAAUUAUUUAAUAAAAAUCACCAAGUACUAAUUCUUAACCAAACUAAUUUUAUUUAAACAAUCUCAAAUCGUGUUUUUUCUAAUUAAGAAAACUAAAUUAACUAAUUAAAACUAAGAUUUUAACGAAUGAAUUCAAAUAAAUAAAGAUUAAGACUUCAAUAUCCCCAAUUAUGAAUUAUAAAUCAAUUAUCCAAUUAUCCCAAUUAUUAUGCCUACUGAAUUGUUAACAGGAAUUCUCAAAUGCCAAAAGUCCUUUUCCAAGUGAUCAAUUGCCUUCUAUUUAAUCCAGAUUAAUCUUGCUAUAUUCCUAUGCAAAACAAUUGAAUUAAACUCUUUCCAAUCCCAAUUCCUUACGUGUUACAUGCGGCGAACAGAUAUUUCCAUUCAAUUCACAAACCUAAUUUUUCACCAUGCAAAUAACUAAGUCACAUGAUAUCAUGCCCAGUUCUAACCCUAGAAUUCCUCUUCCAAUUCCUUCUAGAGUAACAAAGUAAUUACUGAUCAAAUAAUUAAGCAAUAAGCACAAGACAAGAUAAACAACUCACUUUAACAUAAAUAAUUAGAAUAUAAUGAAUAACUAAUUCAUAGCCAUAAAAAGUUCAAUUGAAAUCUCAAAAAUAGUUAGUUCAUAAUUAAUGAAUUAAAACCAAGAAUCCACAACUGAAUAGACAUCAAAAGAUAAAAGUAAGAUGAGAGAAGAGAAUAGAAUCUGUUGUCAGCAAAUCUGAUGCUCCCCUCUUGCUCUUGCUCUUGAUCUUCAAUGGUCUCCAAGUUGCUUCAAUCUCCAAAACUAAUAAGAACUAGGGUUAUUUUCUAAUCUAAAGGAGUGUUUAAUCUAGGCUAAGCUAUGUAAUCUCCCUUUAUUUUAUGCCUUACAUCAUGUAUUUAUAGGUUACAAGUCCAAUUUUUAGCUUAGGAACAAACCCAAUCCUAUUUGGAGUCAAAAAGGUGUCAAAAUUCGCCCAAAACGCGUCCAGGC